AGAAGAAGUGGGAAAUAAAGGAAUUAUGUGCCAGUACGGCAAUACCUAAAUAAAGGCAUUUUAUGAUCUUGUCAUGUUCCCAGUGCUGGUAUUACCAUUUCCUGGACCAGAGAGGCUCUUUCUUGUCCUGCUGUCAGUCCCUACAAGAGGCCAGUGAACAGCCACUCACUGAAAACAAAAGCUCCUGCUAAAGACUACUAAAGACAAAAGAUGGAGAAACCGAUCUGGAAAGAAAGAGAGCUGUCCCAGACUUAAGCCUUCACCAUUCUCAAGGAGAAGAAAUAUUUGUCAUUCACUCCAGUCUUCCCCAACACUUCCCUGACUGCUGGCAACCUUAGCUUUCCUGGCAAGGAUCCUACUGUGGAGCUAUACACACAGAUUUGACUAUAAAACAUAUUGCUGGGCCUGGGUAAAAAAAGAAGAAAAGAAAAAAAACCACACACACACACACGCCACUCACUUUUUGUCAAAGGUGUCUGUGUUGCUAUUCCCAUGGACUGUGAGCUAUGCUUAGCAAAGAUUCACUAUGUAGAAGGUUUUACAAAGAAAGUGCUUUAAAUGAAAAAAAAUCUUCCCAUGAGCAUACAGUCUUUGCAAAGCACUGAAGCUUUCUACAGCUUUGGUCCCUUCGGAAUAUAGAAGAUUUACCUUUUACAGUUGCAGUUGCCUUACAUCUACGUGUUCUAUAUAAACGAGAAGGAAGAGAAGCACCUGGAAAGAGAAGUUAUAGUAAUUCUGCAGUAUCCUUUGUAGUACAGCCUGCAGCUCACAGUAUGUUCUGCAAGUUUGGUUUCAAUUUUACCCUUGAAACAAAACAGUAUUUUCAUCACAUAAGCUUUCCUGUCAAACACAUCUUAGAUAUUUUCAAUUUGUCAACAGCUUAAUGCAUAAACAAAACAGUGAAAUAGCAACCCCCCACGUUAAAAGGGAACAAGCAUAAAGAAUUCCUGUAUGUAGGUGAUAAAUUACCACUUUUUUCACUUCAUGAUUGCACUGCCCAACAUUAUUACAACUGAUGAGAUUAUCCAAACCUGUGUCUAAUCACAAGAUGAAGUGACAACUGUAGCUACUUAAGUCGCAGCAACCUUAAAAAGUCACUUCAGCUCUGAAUCUAGUGUUUUGCAAAAUUUUCAGCUUCAGUAUUAGCUCUAUUUCCACAUACAAGCAAUAUCUAUUGCUUAAUUCACUCUCCCAUUCAAUAUUCCUGGCCACUGGACUGCAACAGAGUCAGUGAGCUGGAGCUCAUUGGAGGACAGCAAUUUCAUUUCAGAGCUCUUGGGGAGCAGUUUGCAUCCUUGACAAAUGGGCCUCAAUAAAAGCUGCCCGAUGGUUACUGGAGUCACCCUCCUACAGAUGGCCGUGGUCAGCAUACAAAUUCCGCACUUGCUGCAAAUCAUUAUGGCUCCAGCAAACGCUGCUUAGGGAGUUCUGUGUGUGACCACUGACUCCACUAUCUUUUUCAUUAUUUCCAAGGUAUCUUUAAUAUCACUUGAGAUAUUAAAGCCCUUAAGAACUGCUGCCCUGCAGAAACCUUCCUUCACACAGAAGACUGCCUCCGCUCUUGCUAUCAGAGCAAAGCUCCAAUAGCAGGGCUAGCGUUAUUCCAAAAAUACGCACAGGAGAUGUUCUUCCAUCGACUGAGAGCCUGAACACAAAACUUCACCUUUAACGAGGAGCUAAUGGGAUUACCUUCUCACUUCAGACAGCUUUUGAGCAGAAGUGUGAAUGGUUGACUGGGAGUUCCCAAACUCCUAGUUAGCCAUCAGUGUCUUGUAAAGUGGCCUAAGGGACUGGUUAAUCUUUGCAGCUGUGAGUCUCAUGAGACAAAUCUAUCAGCUUUCCUUAACAUAACUUCUCAGACUCAAUUUCAAGGAGGUACAUUGUUUGAAAUGGUUGGGUCUGAUUUGUAAUGUCCUUAGUGAUACAACAAAAUCAAACUCUGACUGAAGGAUAAAAUUGAAUUAGACUUCAGAGAAUGUCAUAACAGCAAUAUAUAUUAUAGCAGUGUCAGAUUAUCUCUCUCAGUGCCUCUUACUGCGGGAUCUUCCAAGCAUUUUCUAAGCAUUAAACAUACACAAACACUUUGCACAACAACAGAGAGAGUUUGUCGGGGCAUCUGGGCCACUUGAGAUUUGGAAAACACAGGUGGGAACCCUUGAUCUGCAUCAGGCAGACUGCCUUCAAUGUGGGAUUAUAGCUAUUCUCACUGUGGAAAGAUUCUUCAGCUACCCAGCUGGUCCAUGGCACAGUUAAAUUUCAUGACUCCCAAUUAUGUGUUUGUAGAUGAUUCUGUGACUAAUUUGGUGGCAUAAUAUAUAAUACAUUAAAAUGAAUACACUCCCUAGUUUCUUUUUUAUGGUGUCAGUGACUUCGGCCAGGCUGGAUGAAAUGGAUCCCAAAUGGUGUUCUGGCAAGAAAACAGUUACUUCCAGAUGGAUCAUUUAUACCAUUUUAAUUUCUCCAGCUAAACUGCAUGCCUGUUAAAUGAGUGUGCUGGGGAUAUUUACAGUUGUAGAGAUCAAUAGGCCAUUUGAUAAAGGUACAGUGGAAAGCUACCUCACAAUAUUCAUCAGGCUUGAAGUACAUAUAAGUAUAUAAAAUGCAAAGUCAUUCCUCUAACUUUACUCAUGUAAAUACCACAUUUGAAAGCCAAAAAGAAAAGGUGUCAUGAGAUGUAGGAAGUCAUAGAAACAUUAAAAAUGAAAUGUGAAACUAAAUAUGCCCUAAUAUAGAAAUUUCUAUAGUGUACCAAGGAGGCUGCAUGUUAAUAUUAAACCAAAAAAAAGACAUUAUGAAUAACAUUCAUUUCAUAUGGUAGUUUUAAUUUUCUAUAAACUCAUCUUUUUCUUCCUGAAAUGUAGCAGAUAGCUACAACUACUCUUCAUAUACAUGAUGCCUAGAGAAAACUAUAGCUCACAAGCUGAUUUUGUUGGCUGUCAGUUUCAUUAACUGAAAUGUUUAGGUUAAUUAAAGAAUCUCCUAAGCAAUCAUUCCUUUUAAAUGGCAGAUAUGAAGGCUGACAAGAAGAAUAGUUGCUCCUUAGUUAUAAAUCACCACUGACCAUCUGGGUUGAUUGUAAAGAAAGGGGAAUAAAGCUUUUACAUUUUUAUUUUGCUGCAAUAAAACAUGUAGUUUCAUUGCAUACUUCAAACCUUUAUCAAGGUUAACUACUGUGACUUAUUCUGGGCAGCUAUUGGAGUCACUAAUGGGCAUAGGCACCUAUAAGGCUUCCCAGUGUGAUAUCUUAAGCUCCAGCAGGGCUCCUCACUGUUCCUGGGAAGAGAGAGGUGUCGCAGAAGGGAAACCCAAGAGCGCUGUGUGCUGAGCACACAGGACAAUCAGAAAACACUGACAAAUACUUAAGGAAAUCUGUUAUUGGUUCAGCCCCCUCCCUGGAGAAUGCAUCAGCCACAAGGCAAAAAAAAAAAGCAGGGUUAAACAGUUUUAUUUCAGAAAGACACAUGGCAUCAGUGGGAGAGAGAGAAGUGCUCAAGGCCCGUUAGCAAAGGUAGGCAGGCCUGAUGUCAGGUGCUUUGAAUCCCCUUAGACUCAGAUGUCCUGAAUUUCAGCCUUAUAGCUUACGCAGUACCUUUUCUCUCUCUUUCUUUGUACUCUGGGGUCCUUUUUUUUCCCUGUAUGGAUUCAGAUAUUUUUGUAUUUAGAGUGCUUUUUUAUGGAAAUGUUUCAAGGCAGAAUACAGUUGAUAGUCACUUUUAUGUAUUUAUUUUUAUUGAUUGGAAAAACUGUAGAGCUCUUGAGUAGAAAUGCUUGGUAUUUGGUUAAUUGUUUCUCCAUGUUUCUCUUAAAGUCACUGUUAGAAACAGGUCACGUAACUCACUUGUUCACUCUAGUUCUUGUCAGAGACAAACUGAUCACUGCUUCUUGCAUUAAACUGACAUUGUGUCCAGAUUAGCUGAAGUUUCUGAUGAUUUCUGUAAUACUCGAUGACCUCUUACAGCUGAGAACUGAGCAGGAGAGCAGAGCAAUGGCAUACUGCUAUGUUUCAUGAUAGGGGCGAAGGAAAACUUUUUUGUUCCUUUGGGGCUUAGUCUAUCACCAACUUAAGUCACAGGAAAAAAUUCUGAUGGAUUGCAGAAGAACUGAGGCCUAAAGCAGAGAGAGAGGUAUGUAGGUCCAUGUCUUGGUGGACCUGCUAGUCUAUGAAAGCACAUAUGUAUA